GGCGAGUGGCGAACGGGUGAGUAAUACAUCGGAACGUGUCCUGGAGUGGGGGAUAGCCCGGCGAAAGCCGGAUUAAUACCGCAUACGCUCUGUGGAGGAAAGCGGGGGAUCUUUCGGGACCUCGCGCUCAAGGGGCGGCCGAUGGCAGAUUAGGUAGUUGGUGGGGUAAAGGCCUACCAAGCCGACGAUCUGUAGCUGGUCUGAGAGGACGACCAGCCACACUGGGACUGAGACACGGCCCAGACUCCUACGGGAGGCAGCAGUGGGGAAUUUUGGACAAUGGGCGCAAGCCUGAUCCAGCAAUGCCGCGUGUGUGAAGAAGGCCUUCGGGUUGUAAAGCACUUUUGUCCGGAAAGAAAACCUCUGGGUUAAUACCCCGGGGGGAUGACGGUACCGGAAGAAUAAGCACCGGCUAACUACGUGCCAGCAGCCGCGGUAAUACGUAGGGUGCGAGCGUUAAUCGGAAUUACUGGGCGUAAAGCGUGCGCAGGCGGUGAUGUAAGACCGAUGUGAAAUCCCCGGGCUUAACCUGGGAACUGCUCUGGUGACUGCAUCGCUCGAGUAUGGCAGAGGGGGGUAGAAUCCACGUGUAGCAGUGAAAUGCGUAGAGAUGUGGAGGAAUACCGAUGGCGAAGGCAGCCCCUGGGUUCAUACUGACGCUCAUGCACGAAAGCGUGGGGAGCAAACAGGAUU
rnacentral:rRNA from 1 species